UUUAAAUUUAAAUUAUUUAUAUUUUAUAAAAAUAAUUUUAAUUUUAGUAUUUUUUUAAGAAUAGAUAAAUUUUAUUAAUAGAUUAUUUAACUGUAAAGGUUAAUUAUUUAAUAAUAAAAUAGUAAAAUUAAUUAUUUGUACCUUUUGUAUCAGGGUUUAUCAAUAUUUUUUAUUUAUAAAUAAAAAUCCCGAAAGUAAAAGAGAUAUUUAUUAUUGUUAUUUAAUGUAUUAAAAUUAUUAAUUAAUAAUAGAUAGAGGUUAUAUGCUAUACAAUUUUAUAUAUCUGGUUUUUUGAUAAUUGAAUUUAAUUCAGAAUUGGUUUGUUUAAUAUAUAAUUAUAUUUAUAUUAAAACUUCCAAUUUAAAAUUAAUAAGGAUAAGCUUAUUAAUUGGUCUAUAAUUUAUAAUUUAUAUUGGGUUAUGUAGGAUUAGAAAUUUUCAUCAUUUAUUUUGUUAUAAUGGAGCUCAAUUUUCAUUUUAUUUUAUUAUAAUUUAGUUUUAUAUCAAAAAUUAUUAUUUAAUAACUAAUUAAUAGUUAUAAUGAUAAAAUUAGUAAAUUAGUUAAUUAAUAUAUAGUAAUUCGGCAAAAUUAUUCUUCACCUGUUUAUCAAAAACAUGUCUUAAUGUAUUUAUAUUAAGUCUAACCUGCUCAAUGAUUUAAAAAUUUAAAUAGCCGCAGUAUUUUGACUGUGCGAAGGUAGCAUAAUCAUUUGUCUUUUAAUUGAAGGCUUGUAUGAAUGGUUGAAUGAGGGAAUAACUUUCUUUAUAUUAAAUAUUGAAUUUAAUUUUUAAGUUAAAAAGCUUAAAUUUUUUAAUGGGACGAGAAGACCCUAUAGAAUUUUAUAAUUAUUUAUUUUUUUUUAUUUUGGUUAUUUUAUACUUUAAAAUAAGUAAUUAUUUUGUUGGGGUGACAAUGGAAUUUUUUUAACUUCCAUAUUAUAUUAAUUGUAAAUUUGCAUAUUAAUGAUCCUUAAUUUAGGAUAAUUAGAUUAAUUUACCUUAGGGAUAACAGCGUUAUUUUUCUGGAGAGUUCUUAUUGAUAGAAGAGUUUGCGACCUCGAUGUUGGAUUAAAAUUAGAUUUAAGUGCAGAAGCUUAAUUUCUAGGUCUGUUCGACCUUUAAAUUUUUACAUGAUCUGAGUUCAGACCGGCGUGAGCCAGGUCGGUUUCUAUCUUUUAAAAAUUAGUAUAUAUUAGUACGAAAGGACCAUUUAUACCAAAUAUUUUGUUGACAUUUAUGAGGAUAUUUA
rnacentral:rRNA from 1 species